rnacentral:sRNA from 1 species
UAUCCGCAAUCAUGGCGAGGUUGUCUA